CGAGGUGUGGGCCCUGGUGGUUUGGUGCCAGGUGGUGUUUUGACUGGUGGCCUUGGCUUUGGAGGAUUACCAGCAGGGCACGGAGGAAAGGCUCCACAUCCAGGUUAUGGAAAUCUAGGAGCUGGAGGAGGUG